UCUGAAUCUGCGAACGGCUCCGCACACCAGUUGCAAACCACAGCAAGUCCGUCGAGACUGGGGGGGACUCGUCCCUUCCAGUAGUAGACUAUAAGGAUAUCCCUGGUAAUUCUGAGGCUAAUACUUGACCGUACGCCAUGGUCGACCGGUUUUGCCGGGAGGCUGUGGAACGUGUGAAGGCAGGUCGCAACAAAUUACAGGGAACUGAUGCACGUUCAAACCACUUCCAGAUAGGCAGUCCCUUCUUCGGGAGGGAGUCCCCGUUCGGGUGGGCCUUGCAAGGUGCUUCUGACCUAUCAACUAGAUGGCAGCGUAAUGGACAUGCUAUGGUACAACGGUACAG
rnacentral:rRNA from 1 species